rnacentral:rRNA from 1 species
UACGUAGGGUGCGAGCGUUGUCCGGAAUUACUGGGCGUAAAGCGAGUGUAGGCGGUUUGGUAAGUCGGAUGUGAAAGCCCCGGGCUCAACCCGGGAAGUGCACUCGAUACUGCCAAGCUAGAGUAUCGGAGAGGUUGGUGGAAUUCUCGGUGUAGAGGUGAAAUUCGUAGAUAUCGAGAGGAACACCGGUGGCGAAGGCGGCCAACUGGACGAAUACUGACGUGAGAACUCGAAAGCGUGGGGAGCAAACAGG